rnacentral:sRNA from 20 species
UUAAUAUUUCGGUAGGUGAGGUUACCACAAGGAUAAGGGUUGCUGCCGCAAAAUAGUGGAGACACUAUGAGAAGGUUAGCAGUCUAUGUCGAAGCCAAGGCAUAGACUAAUGCAAUUUCAUCGCCUUGUGAAGCUGAAGCUUGUACGAUGAUGAAGCAGUUU